rnacentral:rRNA from 1 species
AGAGUUUGAUCCUGGCUCAGGACGAACGCUGGCGGCGUGCUUAACACAUGCAAGUCGAACGGGGCAUAGAGAUAUGCCUAGUGGCGGACGGGUGAGUAACACGUGAGCAACCUAUCCUAUACAACGGGAUAACACAGAGAAAUUUGUGCUAAUACGGUAUAAGACCACACUCCGGCAUCGGAGAGGGGUAAAAGCUGAGGCGGUAUAGGAGGGGCUCGCGGCCCAUUAGCUAGUUGGAGAGGUAACGGCUCACCAAGGCGACGAUGGGUAGCCGAUCUGAGAGGAUGAACGGCCACAUUGGAACUGAGAAACGGUCCAAACUCCUACGGGAGGCAGCAGUGGGGAAUAUUGGGCAAUGGAGGCAACUCUGACCCAGCAACGCCGCGUGAAUGAAGAAGGUCUUCGGAUUGUAAAGUUCUUUAGCGAGGGACGAAAAGAAUGACGGUACCUCGAGAAUAAGCCACGACUAACUACGUGCCAGCAGUCGCGGUAAUACGUAGGUGGCGAGCGUUGUCCGGAAUGACUGGGCGUAAAGGGAGCGUAGGCGGCACAACAAGUUAGGAGUGAAAUACCGUGGCUUAACCACGGAACUGCUUUUAAAACUGUUGAGCUAGAGUGAUGGAGAGGAAAGCGGAAUUCCUAGUGUAGCGGUGGAAUGCGUAGAUAUUAGGAGGAACACCAGAGGCGAAGGCGGCUUUCUGGACAUUAACUGACGCUGAGGCUCGAAAGCGUGGGGAGCAAACAGGAUUAGAUACCCUGGUAGUCCACGCCGUAAACGAUGGAUACUAGAUGCGGGGAGUAUCGACUCUUUCCGUGUCGGAGCAAACGCAAUAAGUAUCCCGCCUGGGGAGUACGGCCGCAAGGUUGAAACUCAA